AGAUUGAACGCUGGCGGCAGGCCGAACACAUGCAAGUCGAGCGGCAGCACGGGUACUUGUACCUGGUGGCGAGCGGCGGACGGGUGAGUAAUGCCUAGGAAUCUGCCUGGUAGUGGGGGAUAACGCUCGGAAACGGACGCUAAUACCGCAUACGUCCUACGGGAGAAAGCAGGGGACCUUCGGGCCUUGCGCUAUCAGAUGAGCCUAGGUCGAUUAGCUAGUUGGUGAGUAAUGGCUCACCAAGGCGACGAUCCGGUAACUGGUCUGAGAGGAUGAUCAGUCACACUGGAACUGAGACACGGUCCAGACCUCCGUACGGGAGGCUAGCAGUGGGAAUAGUGGACAAGUGGGCAAAGCUAGAUCCAGCCAGUGCCGCGUGUGUGAAGAAGGUCUUCGGAUUGAAAGCUAACGUUUAGUGGAGGAAGGCUAGUUACCAAGUACGUAUUCGUGUUUAGCGUUACCGAC
rnacentral:rRNA from 1 species